UUGUGCCUACGGGACGCAGCAGUAGGGAAUCUUCCGCAAUGGGCGAAAGCCUGACGGAGCAACGCCGCGUGAGUGAUGAAGGGUUUCGGCUCGUAAAACUCUGUUAUUAGGGAAGAACAAAUGUGUAAGUAACUGUGCACAUCUUGACGGUACCUAAUCAGAAAGCCACGGCUAACUACGUGCCAGCAGCCGCGGUAACACGUAGGUGGCAAGCGUUAUCCGGAAUUAUUGGGCGUAAAGCGCGCGUAGGCGGGUUCUUAAGUCUGAUGUGAAAGACCACGGCUCAACCGUGGAGGGUCAUUGGA
rnacentral:rRNA from 1 species